GACGAACGCUGGCGGCGUGCUUAACACAUGCAAGUCGAACGGUGAACGAGGGAGCUUGCUCCCUCCGGAUCAGUGGCGAACGGGUGAGUAACACGUGAGCAAUCUGCCCCGAACUCUGGGAUAAGCGUUGGAAACGACGUCUAAUACCGGAUACGACGCGGGAGGGCAUCCUCUCCGCGUGGAAAGAACUUCGGUUCGGGAUGAGCUCGCGGCCUAUCAGCUUGUUGGUGAGGUAACGGCUCACCAAGGCGACGACGGGUAGCCGGCCUGAGAGGGUGACCGGCCACACUGGGACUGAGACACGGCCCAGACUCCUACGGGAGGCAGCAGUGGGGAAUAUUGCACAAUGGGCGCAAGCCUGAUGCAGCAACGCCGCGUGAGGGACGACGGCCUUCGGGUUGUAAACCUCUUUUAGCAGGGAACAAGCGAAAGUGACGGUACCUGCAGAAAAAGCACCGGCUAACUACGUG
rnacentral:rRNA from 1 species